CUAGGAGAUAUCAGCUGUGAUGGCUUGGAGAAAGAGUGUAAACCGGCAUUGUAAACAAGAGCAGGGCAUGUAUGAGUAGUUGAAAACAGUCAAUAGAAGUAUGACUAGAGAGAAGACAGUAGGGAUGACAAGUUUUUUGGGGGCACAGUCUAAGUUGGUCUGGUGUCUGGAAUGAGACUGGGGCCUAAUAAAAAGGAGUGUCUAUACUGGAGCUCAAAUGGGCUCUGCCUUGUAGCAUUCUGAGGACAGGUAUGACUUCUGAGAAGGGAAAGUGGUAGAAGUAUUGUCCAGUCCUUUGUAAGUUGGUGACUGAGCUUGGUGACGUGUGUUUUUAAAAGACCUUUAGUCCAUUCUACUUUUCUUGAAGACUGAGGACUGUAAGGGAUAUAAAGGUUUCACUGAAUACUAAGAACCUGAAAAAAUGCUUGGCUGAUUUGACUAAUAAAGGCUGGUCUGUUAUCAGACUGUAUAGAGGUAGGAAGGCUAACCUGAGGAAUUAUGUCUGACAGAAGGGAAGAAAUGACUGCGGUGGCCUUCUCAGACCCUGUAGGAAAGGCCUCUACUUAUCCAGUGAAAGUGUCUACCUAGACUAAGAGGUAUUUUAGUUAUCUGACUCGGGGCAUGUUGAGUAAAGCUAAUUUGCCAGUCCUGGGUGGGGGCAAAUCUUCGAGCUUGAUGUGUAGGGAAGGGAGGGGGCCUGAAUAAUCCCUGAGGAGUAGUAGAAUAGCAGAUGGAACACUGAGAGGUUAUUUCCUUGAGGAUAGAUUUCCAUGAUGGAAAGAAAAUGAGAGGUUUUAAGAGGCAGGCUUGUGGCUUGUACUAUAGCAUAGCCUGCCUUUGCUGGUGUGUGGCGAUUAGGCCUGGUGGAACUGCCAUCAAUAAAUCAAGCAUGAUCAGGGUGAGGAACAGGAAAGAAGGAAAUAUGGGGAAAUGGGGUGAAUGUCAGGUGGAUCAGAGAGAUACAGUCAUGGGGGUCAGGUGUGGUAUCAGGAAUAAUGUGGGAGGCCAGAUUGAGGUCUGGGCCAGGAACAAUGAUAAUUGUGGGAGUUAACAAAAAGUGAGUACAGCUGAAGGAGCGGGGGAGCAGAAAGUAUAUGAAUCAGGUAUGAGGAAGAAAAUAGAUUUUGGAAGUUAUGAGACAUGUAGAGAGUGAGUUGAGCAUAGUUCGUGAUUUUUAGGGCCUCUAAAAGUAUUAAAGCAGUGGCAGCCGCUGCAUGAAGACAUAAGGGCUAAGCUAAAACAGACAGGUAAAAUGGGGGAAUCAUAAGGAGAGUUUAUAGGCUUUAAAAGGCAAUGCUGUAGCAGGUGAGUGAUAACAGGCUUUAAUCCUUUCAAAGCAUGCUGUGGGAUGGGAUAUUGGCAUUGAGCUGGGUAAGGGUGAUUAGGUUUUAAUGAGAUGGUAAGGGGUGCAUGAUCGGUUGCCAAGGAGGGAGUAGAGGUAUCUUAUACUUGUGGGUUAAGGUGGGGGGAUACAAGAGGAGAACGCAAAGGAGGCUUUGGAUUGGGAAGAAGGGCAGCAAUGAGAUGCAGCUGUAAUCCAGGAAUAGUCAGGGAAGCAGAUAAUUUAAAGUGUCUCGGCCUAAUAAGGGAACUGGGCAGGUGGGGAUAACUAAAAGGGAGUGCAUAAAGGAGUAUUGUCUAAGUUGGCACCAGAGCUGGGGAGUUUUAAGAGGUUUAGAAGCCUGGCCGUCAAUACGCACAACAGUUAUGGAAGCAAGAGAAACAGGCCCUUGAAAAUAAGGUAAUGUAGAGUGAGUAGCCUCUGUAUUGAUUAAGAAGGAGACGGACUUACCCUCCACUGUGAGAGUUACCCGAAGCUCAGCGUCCGUGAUGGUCGAGGGGGCUUGCAAGGCAAUCGGGCAGCGUCAGUCUUCAGCCGCUAAGCCAAGAAGAUCUGGGAAGGAGUCAGAGAGCCUUGGGCCAGAGUUCCAGGGGCUCUGGGAGUGGCUGCCAGGUGAGUUGGACAGUCUGAUUUCCAGUGGGGUCCCGCACAGAUGGGAUGUGGCUUAGGAGGAAACCUGGGCUGCAGGCAUUCUUUGGCCUGGUGGCCAGAUUUCUGGCACUUGUAGCAAGCUCCUGGGGGAGGAGGUUCUGGAGGAACACCUGGCCACUGCGGUUCAGGCG
rnacentral:lncRNA from 1 species